AUAGCGUAUAUUAAAGUUGUUGCAGUUAAAAAGCUCGUAGUUGGAUUUGUGGCGUGUCCUGUCGGAGCAUGAGCUCUGCUUGUGUGUCUGUACGGGUGUGCCUUUAAUGGGAUUGUUGGCUUUGUGGCAUUAGGUUGUCGCAUUGUUGAUGCCCAUCUUUUACUGUGAAAAAAUUAGAGUGUUCAAAGCAGGCUUAUGCCGUUGAAUAUGUUAGCAUGGAAUAAUGAUAUAGGACCUUGGUACUAUUUUGUUGGUUUGCGCACUAAGGUAAUGAUUAAUAGGGACAGUUGGGGGUAUUCGUAUUCCAUUGUCAGAGGUGAAAUUCUUGGAUUUUUGGAAGACGAACUACUGCGAAAGCAUUUACCAAGGAUGUUUUC
rnacentral:rRNA from 1 species